AUGAUGCCAAUUUGUACACAUUUUUCUUUGGAGCCUAUGCUUGCAGUGAUCAGAAGUUUGAUGAAAAAUCAAGGUUGAAAGACGAAAAAGUGUUACUGUGUAAUUUGCAUGCUGUGAAGGGGCCCUGUCCCAGAUAAAGUGCCAUUGAUCCUUAUUAAACCUCACCUCUGGGCUUGCUUAAAACUAACUGGAAAAAUUAAAGUGUUUUCAUGCUUGUGUGGUAGGAUUAUGGAAAAAAUAAUAAAAGUAAUUUCCAGGAGAGAAUUUAUAACA